rnacentral:rRNA from 1 species
UACGUAGGGGGCAAGCGUUGUCCGGAAUUAUUGGGCGUAAAGGGUGCGUAGGUGGCGCCGUAAGUCAGGUGUGAAAUUUCGGAGCUUAACUCCGAAACUGCAUUUGAUACUGCGGUGCUUGAGGACUGGAGAGGAGACUGGAAUUCACGGUGUAGCAGUGAAAUGCGUAGAUAUCGUGAGGAAGACCAGUGGCGAAGGCGGGUCUCUGGACAGUUCCUGACACUGAGGCACGAAGGCCAGGGGAGCAAACGGG